GUCAACACCCGGCACUGAAGUGACGGGGCUUCAUGCCUCUAACUUUAGUUAGUUCGUACCCGCCUAAGUCUUAACUGACUAUGUUUUUUGAGUCAAGACACCCUGUUGGAUGCGUAGCUAGUCCCUGGCUCUGUC
rnacentral:sRNA from 1 species